ACUCCUCACUUUCACUCCAUUCAGCCAUGAAGUUCUUCUUCUUAAGUUUUCUUGCCAUCCACUUCAAUUCCGGACAAUCUAUCUUGAAAUGUCCGGGCUUGUUACACUCAUAGCAAAUUGGUGUUUUCUUUUCCUUUUCUUUGUCUUUUUCCUUUUCUUUGCUUGAGCUACCUUUGAGGAAGGGCUUCCUUUUAUGAAAUUUCUUCUUUCCUCUCAUGAACUUUCUG
rnacentral:lncRNA from 1 species